CGAUGGGAUAGAGGCUGCAGUUUAUAUGAGUAAAACAGUCGAGAUACCAUGAUGUUGAUGACGCUGUUUGAAAGGAUAAACUGCCGAAGUGUGAGUAGGUCAUUGUCUAUUCAUGCUGGGGAUGUUUUCGAAUAGGAACAUCACUGUCGCGUUAUUUAACGUGGAGGGCUAUCUUCGGA
rnacentral:ncRNA from 2 species